rnacentral:misc_RNA from 1 species
CUUCCGCAGUGUACACUUGCUGAAGCCUUAGCGGGUCCAAAAGACCGGUACAAUCGCGACUAAAAAUAAUGGAGACCAGCCUGUUCAAACAGGCGCGCUAGUCGUGGGCAGAAAUGCCUGCGGCGACACUAUCGAAUUGACGGGGACACCCUAAAGACGAUGAUACCAACCCUGCGGCGAAAGUCAAUGGGGGCCCAAGCUAACAACUUGGGGUACGGUAAUAAAUCAUCGUAUGAGCCUUAUACGCCGAAGUGGAAGCGUAUGUGGUGAAAUGGGCAAUCCGCAGCCAACGCCUAAGGUCUUGAUUGACUAUGGUAGGGGUUCACAGACUAAGUGGUAGUGGGUGUAGCUGUCUGACAGCUAUGCUUAAGAUAUAGUCGGGCCCCUGGGGAAACCCAGGGGGUAAGUACACUGCAACCAGUUGCAAACGGCCUCGGUCGACGGUCUGGCUCUCGUCAUGCGAGCCUUACCCGAAGCCUUGGUUAUACAGAAACCGUUCCGUAGGUGAACCUGCGGAAGGAUCAUUAAAGAGUAAGGGUCUCUGGCCCGAACCUCCAACCCUCUGUUGUUAUAACUACUUCGUUGCUUUGGCGGGACCGCAAAGGUUCUCCCGAGCGCGCCGGUCUCCGGACAGGCGAGCGCCCGCCAGAGUCUAACCAAACUCUUGUUUUAAACCAGUCGUCUGAGUAUAAAAUUUUAAUUAAAUUAAAACUUUCAACAACGGAUCUCUUGGUUCUCGCAUCGAUGAAGAACGCAGCGAAAUGCGAUAAGUAAUGUGAAUUGCAGAAUUCAGUGAAUCAUCGAAUCUUUGAACGCACAUUGCGCCCCUUGGUAUUCCGAGGGGCAUGCCUGUUCGAGCGUCAUUACACCACUCAAGCACUGCUUGGUAUUGGGCAUCGUCCGUCGUAAAGGCGGGCGUGCCUCGAAGACCUCGGCGGGGUUUCUCCAACUUCGGGCGUAGUAGAGUUAAAUCAAAACGUCUUAUAAGCUUGGUGAGAUCUCAUUGCCGUUAAACCUUUUAUAU